CGGGCGCCUUGCUCACUGCAGCCUGCAGGAGGGCUGCUAGGAUGACGGGAGAAAGCGUCGCGUUCCAUUGGGAGGUAUUUUACAAUUCAAAGCAGCGCGGGAAGUGCUACAGGACAGAAGAUUCAUGAGGACGUGCAGCAAUAUAAUUCCUGACUUUCUGGAUUAUUACAGAAAGGACACUGAGCCUCCCUCUGGGAACGUGCCUGGGGUGGCUGAGCUGCACGUUCUCUGCCUCAAGUGUGAUGCUAAUUUGAAGAAGUUGCUAACUGAUGCACAAAAACUAACAGAACCAUACGCAACCGUCCUGUGUCCCUGGAGCCAGAGCAUCUGUGCGCAUGUGUCUCCACGUAUGAAACACUGCCAGGUAGUACCGUCUUAUUAUUAAUGCUGCAUUUUAUCUAUUAACUGACGGGAAAAAUAAUGGAGGGUAACAAGAAGGAAAGCAACAGAAGGGACCUCUAUCUAAUUUAUCUAUUAAAAAUCACGAUUAUGUCAGUCAUGUAUGUACAACAUUCAUCACAUACUUCCAGAGAUUCAAAGCUCAACUAUUAUGCAUCUUCAAUAAUAAGAGCCUGACCACACUGAGCCUGUAAACCCACGUGCCGCAGCAUGGGUCACUCCUAAACACGGCACCGCAGGGCAUGUGUGGGCCGGAACGCGUGUGUCACCCUGUACUAACGAGAAAGGCACUUCUGACAGGGAGCAGGUGUGAUGGUGUCAGUGUAUGCAAGUGUGCAUUCACCGAAGUGUUUAAAGUGGCAAAAUUCAGGCCCACCCAGCCAUUUUUCUAGGUAGGUUUUUUGCUCUAAGUAUGUAUUCUGUCUAUAAUUAGAAACUAUUUUCUUAAUUUAAAUUUGAUGGCCACUUUACCUAAUCAGAGGUUAAAACAGACCAGCUACAGUAAGUAUGUAAACAUCUCCACCAAGCUGUCAACACUGAGGCACUUCUCUCAUGGAACAGGGAACUACAAGAAACACCCGGGUCCCAGGCCCAGCGGCUGUGAGAGGAAGAUCCGCCUUCUCAGGAGCUGCACCAGAGCUGAGCUCCUGCUGUGUGUGUGACAUUCAGAGUUUACACUUCCACUGUCUAACAGCAUCCAUCCUUCCACAAACUGCUAGUCGUCCCUGAAGAGCAAAUGAUACCUGAACUACUAGGACCACUUGCUGAUGACGACCACACGAAGCAGCUCUGAGCAGGACUGAAAUUAAUCGGCUUUCCGUGUUUACUUGUAAGUCUGUCCAAGGCUUAGGUCGCUUGUCUGGAGAUGGGCGGUGGACUCACUGUAAGUGAACCUUUGUGAGUCACCAGUCCCGACUGAGGCCUGUAAUGGUGGGUGAAGCCAGAAAGCCUCAAAGCAUAAGACAGGAUCACCACCAAGGACA